GAAUAAACUUCCUAGGCUGAAAUUGCUAGACAUUUCAACCCCCACCGUAAGCUCUCCAAUGGAAAGAUGUAGCACAUUUCAUAAGAUUGCGUCAUCAAUUCCAACAACGCACCCUCAUACCACACUCGAUCUAUCCUCUGGGUCAUAGUUUGCAAUGUACUCUUCCAAUAAUCCCAUAUCAAUCAGCGGUAAAUUCUUUGACAUUUGCAAGAACUUAAACAUCUAUGUAUUUCAAAAAUCUUAUGACCUUUUUAGCGACCAGCACACUUCCAACUUCAUCAGUUCCAUACUAGUAAUGAUCAUCCUAAACCUGGCUCCAGAUCGUGUUUAGCUCUCACAUUUUGGCUUCUUUCCUCUCUGUUUGUAGCUCUCUUUGUAUUCCCAAUCGCCAUGAU
rnacentral:lncRNA from 1 species